rnacentral:rRNA from 1 species
UACGUAGGGUGCGAGCGUUGUCCGGAAUUAUUGGGCGUAAAGAGCUCGUAGGCGGUUUGUUGCGUCUAUCGUGAAAACCUGCGGCUUAACUGUGGGCUUGCGGUGGAUACGGGCAGACUUGAGUUCGGUAGGGGAGACUGGAAUUCCUGGUGUAGCGGUGAAAUGCGCAGAUAUCAGGAGGAACACCGGUGGCGAAGGCGGGUCUCUGGGCCGAUAUUGACGCUGAGACGCGAAAGCGUGGGGAGCAAACAGG